AACAUAACCUUUAGCCACUAACAAAUAUUAAAGGCAACGCCUGCCCGGUGAUCAUUAAACGGCCGCGGUACCCUAACCGUGCAAAGGUAGCAUAAUCAUUUGUCUACUAAUUAUAGACCAGUAUGAAAGGCAAAAUGAGGGUUUAACUGUCUCUUACAACAGAUCAAUUAAACUGAUCUACCAGUAAAAAAGCUGGAAUAUUAUCAUAAGACCAGAAGACCCUGUGAAGCUUAAAAUAAACUAUUAAACCAUAUAAUAGCUACUUUCGGUUGGGGCGACCUUGGAAAUAAAAAGAACUUCCAACAACACACUUCCAGACAUACAGGCCCACAAGCCACUAAACGACCCAGCUUCUAAGCUGAUAAAUGAACCAAGUUACUCCAGGGAUAACAGCGCCAUCUUCUUCAAGAGCCCAUAUCAAAAAGAAGGUUUACGACCUCGAUGUUGGAUCAGGACAUCCUAAUGGUGUAGCCGCUAUUAAAGGUUCGUUUGUUCAACGAUUAACAGUCCUACGUGAUCUGA
rnacentral:rRNA from 1 species